AGAUUAGAAAUUUAAUUUCUUACAAUAAUUAAUAGUUUAUUAAAUUAAACAUAAUCUA
rnacentral:tRNA from 1 species